ACCAGAAUCCAUUUUAGGUAAAGCCCCCACAUAAAGCCAAAGGGUUAGCUUGCAAUUCACUCAAAAGAUUAUUGUGGUUGUGCAGUAUGUAUUUAACAGAGGUACAGUAGGACUAGUGAAUACCACCCAGGUAGUGUUAGAAUCAAACAGCUCCAAUCCCAGCUUUAUUCCUUCUUGGGUAUCUCAGUUUUGGCAUGUUUCUUUAUGAAGGCAGUGCCAAGCUAUUGUUGGGUGUAGAGCUGGUCUAAGUGUAUCAGUAAGUCCACAACUUGGCUCAGUGAGCAGUGGCUAAUACCGGUACUACUCUCUCGUUGUGGUUCUGAUAUCUUCAAGAAAUUCUACCAUAGAUGAAGAAGAACAUAUGGAUCUCAUCUUCCCAAAGCUGCCUUCAAAAGAGCAAAAUUCUCUAUCAUAAUGAAGUCAGAUGGCUUCUCAUUUUUCUCCUUAACUCCCCGUCUUCUGCUACUGGUUACUGAUUUUGCUUUCUCCUUUUAUGACUUCAAUUCUGACACCUCAAGGAGAUGGGGAGGAACAGGGGUAGGAUGGAAAUUAACCUUUCUUCUGCACUUUGUGUGCCCGGCACAGUGUUUGACACGUUGCCCAACAUCUUCUCCUUUAAUCUUCAGAGCUGAUUCUGAGGUAGAAGACCAUGAGCUCUAAGCUGCUUCACCUUCUCUUUUAACACAAAAUGAGGUUCACAGAGGCAAGACACCACAAUCCUGAAUAUACUAUCAAUUCUGAAUGGUCUGUCCAUUUGUGACAGAACAGGCAGCUUCCUCCUUCUUGACUUGUGAAUGUGGUGUCCUCCAAGGCCACUGCCUGAGGUGAACCCCAAAGAUGUAUCCCAACCAUGGCUCUCCACAGAAAGUUUCCCACCUACCAGCAGCUUUACCCACCAUGGUUAUUAUUUAAGGUGCAAUACACUGUCAUCUAUCGAAUAUUUAUAGAACUAUCUACUGCUCAUAGUUCUUUCUCCAAAACCACACAGAACAACUCAACCCCUCUUAGAGGCUGCUCUUCAGAUGAUGAGAACUCCUGAUCCCUGCAGAGAUGCUCGCCCACCCCACAAACCUACCCAGCCAUGCAGACAUCUGGGUUCUGCUUUCUACCAUAAUUCACAGUUGUGUGAGUGUGUUGUUGCUUCCCCCUUUGACGUGAUGCAUCUCACUCAACCCACCAGUGUUAUGAGGGUAGAAGUGAUGCUAGAAUUAAAGUGGUGAGAAAGCUGGAGUUCAGAAAGCUCAAGUCUAUUGUCCAAGGGUAAAAAGGUCAGCCAAAUAGCAGAGCUGAUAACUCUAGGAUUCAAACUGGGGGCGCCUCCAAAGUUAAACUGUGCUCUCUCCACCAGGGUACGAAAGCUCUCUGAAUGAACAACCAUGCAUGGCAAUGUAAUAAGCACCUUAAGAGAGGCCCAAACAGAUGCUAAAAGGUGCUCAUUUCAGAGCUGCCUUCUUUCUCACUAGGCUUCAGCCAGGCUGCACUAAUUACCAUUUAUUUAAGAUGCCUGCCUGGCACUGCUGGGGCUCAGAGAGGAGUUCUAAUUUGCUGUUGAAGGAGUCGAGGGAGGGAAUGGAGAGGGCUGUGAAGUGUCCCCUCCCAGGCGGGAGUGAUUUCUGUUCAGAAAAACACUGAGGUUACUAAUGGGGAAGGGGAAAAGGAGCAGCAAAAAUGAGAAGUAUACUUGGGAUGCACUUGCAUGCCCGCAACAUCUGGUGGGCAGGAUUCAUUCCUCCUUCCCCUCCUGAGACUGCAAUUAAGGAGCUAAUGUGAGAAAGAAAUAGCAAUCCAUUGUCCCACUGAGGUGGGGCGAGGGAAGGACUUAGACACCCAGUCCACCCAGGAGAGGCUCCUCUGGUUUGAAGCUGGAAAUGUCCUAGAAGGGGCUUUGAACACCUGCAGAAGCGAUGCCAUUUCAGCUUUUCAGAUAGCAUGGUGUGAAAAUCAGAGCUUUGCCCACCUAGACUGAGCCUGCUGUGGAAGAGCAGCCCUG
ensembl:lncRNA